rnacentral:misc_RNA from 1 species
AAAUGACCCAUGCUCCUUAACUACACAUGCAUUAAUCCUGAUCACUGGAAGCAUCAUCCCUUUAGUACCCCUUAGCACUGGAGGUUUAGAUUGAUUGGGUCUUCCGACAACGUUACUAUCAUUCCACUCAUCAGGAGUAAAAGCCCAUGAUGGAAGAUCAAGCUUUCUGCUGUGUGACGGGUUAUACAAUUCAUCUUCUGCGGCCAUCUUGGGUCUUCAAUCCCAGAUUUUGACAUGAGGCAUAGAGGAUAACCGUCAUUGAGAACAAGUUUCUUUUUCCACAGCCUAUCUUGUGUGGCUUCAUCGAUUCUUUUCCAAUCACCACCCUUGCAUGACCACAGACCAGAGAAUAAUUCAGCUGGGUCACUGCAGAAGAAAUCAGUUUCCUUGUCACUGGUCCUCGGCUCUGUGGAUUCUUUCUGCACCUCUGAACUAAGUGACAACUCGUCUGAACUUUGAUUCCAGUGUUCCCCUUCAGCACUUCCCCAUUUCUCCCACUCCACGUGCUCCAAGGUCACUUGCAGCACUUCACCAAUGAUCUCCAG